rnacentral:miRNA from 1 species
CUCCCUCUCUGUGCAGCGCCUCUCCAGCAAAGUGGGAAGAGAAAUGGAGGGGCUCUGUUUCUCCUCCCGCUUUGCUAAAGAGGCGCUGCACAGAGAGGGA